GGGGUCGAUUUAGGAUUCGACGGGAUACUCGAAACCCAAGGUGCAUGCCGUGGGGCGGUUGGCCACGUAAAAAGCCGCAAAAAAAUAGUCGCAAACGACGAAAACUACGCCCUCGCUGCCUAAUAAGCAGUAGAGUGCCUGCCUCUGAAGCCCCGCUUGCUGGCUGAAGGUUCAAGGCAGUCAAACCCUGCAAGAUCGCGUGGAACCUUUGUCCGGAGGUGAAGCGUUAAAACCAAUCGGACUCGCCUUGAUGAAGCCUGUUGUUCGGCGUCUGACUGGGUUAACUAAAAGAGCAACUAAGCAUGUAGUGCCGACGGCGUAGGUGUUUCGGACGCGGGUUCAACUCCCGCCGACUCCACCA
rnacentral:tmRNA from 1 species